UUUAAUUAUGAAGAAUAUCCUUUUUCACAGCUGAGGCUAUUUUCUUAUCUCUCUCAUUUCUCACAUUUCACCCCUCUUUACUUUGUCACUUCCUCCACCUCACUUUGCUGUCGCAACCUCUUCACUUCGCUGUCGCCUCCAUCUCCUCCUCUUCCUCACACUAAGUUCUACACCGAACGGCUCAAGUGACAUUCUUCACUACCACCUCAUCCUCAAGUUCAUGCCCACAGUCUCUGUCGUUGGCUUGUAGCCUCAUACGGUGGUUUCUAUCGUCGCCUCUGCCAUACAUUAUGAUCUCUAGUUUCAGUUCGCACCUCAGUAACAUUUUCAUCCUUCUUUUGUUCAAUUUUGAUUCCUUAUUUGAGAAAUUCUCAUUUUCUAGGGUUUAUGUGAUUCAUGCUAAUUAAUCCAUUCUUACAUAUCAUCAUGCACUGGUUUUUAUGGUCCAGCAGAAAUUAAUUUGAAAUUUGGAUUUGCUAGUCUGAGGCUGGCUUUAGGCUCAAUGACUUUGCUGAUCCGUUCGAAUUUUAUAGACCCUUGAGAGUUGUGAAUCCAAGACCAUAUAUGACUUAUUUGCAGGUUUAUAUGCAACAUCCCGAUAUAAUUCUUCAUAUAAUUUAAUCUUUUGAAGUUCAGCUCUUUCAUGUCACUCUCUAUAUAUUUAUCAAACAGGCUCGGGGAUGUAAUCUGGUUGCUUCAAGUCCGGAGAUUCUUACACGUAUUUUUAUGGUAACUGUAUUUGGAAGGAUGUUUAGGAAGACCUGCUAAAGGAUGCUUUUGCUUUCUUUCCAAGAUUUGACACAAGCAACAAGUGUAAGAUAUAUUGAACACAAAAAAAGUUUUGGGAUAUUGCAUAUAGAGACAAGGACUUCAAAAAUGCAAUUGAGUAUUAUUCUAAGAUUCUGCUUUCAUCUUCAAUGGAUAAAACUAUUCACAUGUGGCAGAUUGGUUGUAGUCAAUGUCUAAAUGUUUUCCAUCAUACAGAUUAUGUGACAUGCAUUCAAUUCAACCAUGUUGAUGAAAAUUACUUCAUCAGUGGCUCUAUAGAUGGUAAAGUUCGAACAUGGGGAAUGCGCAAAGAGCGAGUGGUUGACUAGGCAGACAUUCGAGAUGUCAUAACUGCUAUAAGUUACCAACCAAAUAGAAAGAUGGUGGCUCUUGCAUAGCAGAAGUUCUACAAGCAUUGCUCUUGUUGAAGAAAGCAUAUGGAGACGGUAUGCACAAGGUUUUGUUGUUUUGGAUUUUUUGUUUGGACAAUAGAUCUUUGUGGUAGGUCAGAUUUCAGAGAACACUAAUCAUAAAGUAUGAAUUAUUAGAUAAAAUACUCAUUAGAGAACGCUGAUCAUUAGCUAUGUGCUAAUCGUCGAUGUAACAUAGACUUGUAGUAUUUGUGUUGUUUAAAUUUAUAUUAUGUUUUAUUACGUUUCAAGAGGAAUUUGUGUAUAAAUAUUUUGAAUUUAAUGAAAUAUUUCAUUUUGUAGUAA